UUAAGAAAAUAAGUGCAAGCGGUGGAUGCCUUGGCAUUCAGAGGCGAUGAAGGACGUGAUAAUCUGCGAUAAGCUUCGGUUAGCUGGUAAAUGAGCUAUGACCCGGAGAUUUCCGAAUGGGGGAACCCACCUGACACAAGUUGGGUACUCACUCGAUAUAGAGUGUAGAGCGAACGAGGGGAACUGAAACAUCUAAGUACCCUUAGGAAGAGAAAUCAAUUGAGAUUCCCGUAGUAGUGGCGAGCGAAGUGGGAAGAGCCUGGUAUGAUUUAGCUGUAAUUAUAGUAGAACAAGUUGGGAAGCUUGACGAUAGAGGGUGAUAGUCCCGUAUACGAAAUAAUCACAGUGGAACUAAGCAUACGAACAAGUAGGACGGGGCACGUGGAACCUUGUCUGAAUAUGGGGGGACCAUCCUCCAAGGCUAAAUACUCCUGAAUGACCGAUAGUGAACUAGUACCGUGAGGGAAAGGUGAAAAGAACCCUUAUAAAGGGAGUGAAAUAGAAUCUGAAACCGCUUGCAUACAAGCAGUAGGAGCAUGAUUUAGUCAUGUGACUGCGUACCUUUUGUAUAAUGGGUCAGCGAGUUAUUUUUAGUGGCGAGGAUAACUGAAUAAGGGAUCCGUAGCGAAAGCGAGUUUUAAUAGGGCGACUAGUCGCUAGGAGUAGACCCGAAACCGGCGCGAUCUAUCCAUGGCCAGGUUGAAGAUUAGGUAGUACUAAUUGGAGGACCGAACCCAAUACUGUUGCAAAAGUAUGGGAUGAGCUGUGGAUCGGAGUGAAAGGCUAAUCAAGCACGGAGAUAGCUGGUUCUCCCCGAAAACUAUUUAGGUAGUGCCUCGUGUAUAACUCAUUGGGGUAAAGCACUGUUUCGACAAUGGGGGUUUUACGACCUUACUGACUCGAUGCAAACUCAGAAUACGAUGAAGUUCGAUCACGGGAGACACACUGCGGGUGCUAAGGUCCGCAGUGGAAAGGGAAACAGCCCAGACCGCCAACUAAGGUCCCAAAGUCAUAGCUAAGUGGGAAACGAAGUGGGAAGGCCCAGACAGCCAGGAGGUUGGCUUAGAAGCAGCCACCCUUUAAAGAAAGCGUAAUAGCUCACUGGUCGAGUCGGCCUGCACGUAAGAUUUAACGGGGCUAAGCUAUGCACUGAAGUUGCGGAAUAUAUUUAGUAUAUUGGUAGGGGAGCGUUCUGUAAGCCGAUGAAGGUGAAUUGAGAAGUUUGCUGGAGGUAUCAGAAGUGCGAAUGCUGACAUGAGUAACGUAAAAUAAGUGAGAUUCUUAUUGGCCGAAAACCCAAGGGUUCCUACGCAAUGUUAAUCAACGUAGGGUAAGCCGGCCCCUAAGGCGUAGCUGAAGAGUGAAGUCGAUGGGAAACAGGUUAAUAUUCCUGUGCUGCUUAUAUGAACGAAGGAGGGACGGAGAAGGUUAGGUAGGCCUGGCGAAUGGUUGUCCAGGUGAAAGUAUGUAGGUAGGAAUGCUAGGCAAAUCCGGUGUUCUGUUGAUCUGAGAUACGAGACGAAGUUAAACUUGUUUGACGAAGCUAUUGAUACCAUGCUUCCAGGAAAAGCUUCUAAGUAUAUUGUAUAAGUGACCGUACUGUAAACCGACACUGGUGGGUAGGUAGAGAAUACUAAGGCUAUGAGAUAACUCUGGUGAAGGAACUAGGCAAAAUGACACCGUAACUUUGGAAGAAGGUGUGCCCUUGAUGGUGAUGAGACUUGCUCUUUGAGCUGUUGGGGGUUGCAGAUACCAGGUGGCUGCGACUGUUUAUCAAAAACACAGCACUCUGCGAAAUCGUAAGAUGAAGUAUAGGGUGUGACGCCUGCCCGGUGCUGGAAGGUUAAUUGAAGGGGUUAGCGCAAGCGAAGCUCUGGAUCGAAGCCCCAGUAAACGG
rnacentral:rRNA from 1 species